UGUACUUGUCCGUCUGCUCACCACACAUCCGUUUCACCUCGUCGCUGUCCCAGCCGUCCGGGUAGAUCAUGCAGCCCAGGAUCAGACACGUACCUGGAUCAGGAAGAGAGAAAAGGAUGGUGACAGACUACAAGCUUCCAUCUUGGAAAUACCAUCCACGGGAGCUUCAAGCUUCAAGAAUUUUUCCUGCCAACAUGGAAAUAGCUGAGAACAGCCCACAGACAUGCUGGUGAAUUCAAACGAAGUCAAAUGUCCUAAUUAAGCGGAGUCCAACUUUCUUCAUCUUGUAAUUAUGAAGCCGGGGAGAGAGGAGCUCGCUCAGGACCGAGUGUAAAUACAAACAGAUUGAGGAGGAGGGAGAGGAACGGCGAGAGCUGGAGAGAGGUUCGGUUAAGACCCGGAGAUGUUGUUAUUCGGGUGUUUUUGCGGCAGUCGUGCAAGAUUGUGUUCAUUAUUGCUACUGUAUGUAAUUACAAAAAAAGUCACAGAGUUUCAUUUGCAUUCUCGAGCCACAGAGAGUUUGAACAGUUACUGCUGCUAUCUUUGGUUUAAAUGAGGAUAUUUACUUUGUAAGACUGAUACGUGACUGGAUUUCUGAAAAACUGCACCACAAGAGACACACCGUGAGGCCUUCAAUCAUGUCUCAGAGAAUAAUGAUUUAUUCACAAACAAGCAGUUGUGUUUGCAUGUAUAAUUCAUACUGAAAUGACUCGAGCGGCCAUAGCAGAGAGACAAUGAGAACAACAGCGACGUUUAAUCUGCAAGGUCGUUCGACUUGGCUGUGAUGUCCAAAAUAUCUCAUCUGUGAACUGUGAGUUCAGAUUGAAAGGCCCGAGGGAUCAAGAAGCAACAAACUCAUUCGACAGUCGAUCUGGCGUACUGUUGGUUCGGGGUCUUGUUUCUUGCAUUUGUCCUGUCACAUCCUAUCAAAGCAAGGCGAGCCUCAGAGCUAAGUCUUGUUUUCAGCUCAUGACAGGAAACUUUUAGAGAAGUCCCCGGUUGUUUAAGGUUAUAAUGAGUUGUUGGUCAACAUUGAGAAGGUAUUGACCGGGUAUGUAGGUCUCUAAGCUCACAGGGGAUGAGCAGCGGAGGUCAGGGCAGUAGGGCAAGGCUGCAAUCAGCCUUUCCCCUUCCGUCUUUCCUCCACCCUCCUGGUUACACUAAUUACAUUACUCCUGGGGAGACAGGAUAAUCAAAUCUUAAUGAGGCGUGGAAGACUUGAGUGCUGUGCUUAACAUGACGCUUCUACCAUCAGAGGCGCUGAACCUUUGUUGAUCUCCAGAAGUCUCUGUUGACUUGUAGGAUUUCUACAUGGUGCAGCUGAAUAAAAAUCAUCCGAUAGUCAUUUCACACCAAAUACUAUCAUGAGAAAUCUCUAAUAGUCCAUCCUGCUAAAAUAACCUGAUCAAACUCUGCUCUUCUAAUUAUUCUUUUCUACAUUCAGUUUUCAUGAUGGAUGAAGAGGAUGAAGGAGGAGAAUAAUGCUUUUGAUAUUUUGUGAAUAUGCAGCAAUUAAGUGAAAACAGUGACAAGAACAUUUCUUUUAAUUAGGAAACUGUCAAAGUUAAUGCGAUAAAGAAAAUUCAUUUCAACGCCACUAAUUUUUUUGGUGGCAUUAAUGCAGGUUAUGAUGCCUCAACUGUACUUUAGCCUUCUAGCAUUAAGUCAGAUGGCAACUAGCAAGGAACAAUGGAUAAAGAAAAAGGUAUUUUGAAUGGCAAGGUCAGCUUCAAAGCCUGUCAGACCAAAGUUAAUUGUAGUUACUGUGAACUGAGUCUAGUCUUAAAUACAAUUUGCUAGUGAGCUAGUGUUAGCCCCGAACCAUCCUGCUUGCAGAAAACCAUGCUUGAUAGUGUGCGAAGGAAACCCAUGGAUUAGACUUACAGGUCUGUCUCUAAAUGCUUUGCUCAGAGAUUGAGGACAAUCUGCCCGGUUUAGUUGUUAAAACUGUGUGGAAACAGUUAGAGGAUUUAUAAAUAACCCUGCAUUGCAAAACCAAUCCAAAGUCUUUUAGGACGGCCUUUCAAACAGGUGAUAUAUAGUUCACUAAGGAGGAUAAUGGGGGGGGGAGCAUCAUUUCCGGUAAGGCGUGUCCCCGACAAAAUUGAAGGGGUGUAGGUUUGUUAGUGGCCGUUCUUGCCGACGCAUUUAGAAAUCCCCAGACUUCUGUAGGCGGAGAUCUCUGAUUGUCUGGUAUUGUGAGACUACUCAUGGACAAACCUACAAGCAGCAAGCUUUUAAGAGGAAUAGUUAAAUGUGUGGCUACAGCUUGCAGGCCAGUUAACGUUGUGGAGGACAACGGUCUGCAUGAAAUAAUUUGGAUUGUAUCCAACGACUGCACUUAAUUGCCAUCAAGAGCCAACAUCGUAUUGAAGAUACACAGCCUGUAUGAUGAAUAAAGAGCUGAAAUAAUUUUCUUUCAAAUACUCCCUUUCCACUGAUUCCUGCUCGCUUUAUUUGUUAUUUAUUCUAUUUUGUAUUCUCCUGUUUUUUAUCACAUAACACAAAGGGAUGUUUUUGUGAGCCUUUAUGUUUCCCAUGUGAGGUUGGACACAAUUACAUUGUGUGAUUUGUUUUUGAAGUGAGGGAUCCAGGGAGUGAUCUUUAAUCAGUGCUGAAGUAAUGGAAAAUUUAUCUGGCCAGUGUGUCCAUCUGUUGCCUGUUGAGCUUGAGUUUGCCAUAACAAGCUAAAUGCUGCACCUGUGAGGGUUUCUGAUAAUCUUUGUCAUUGUUUUGUGUUGUUAAUUGAUUUCCAACAAUAAAUGUAACAUUUAUCAUUAUCUUGUCCACUCUCAUGUUAAUAAGAGCAUUAACACUUGAAAAAUGUCCCUUUAC